rnacentral:rRNA from 1 species
GAUGAACGCUGGCGGCGUGCCUAAUACAUGCAAGUCGAGCGAACGGACGAGAAGCUUGCUUCUCUGAUGUUAGCGGCGGACGGGUGAGUAACACGUGGAUAACCUACCUAUAAGACUGGGAUAACUUCGGGAAACCGUAGCUAAUACCGGAUAAUAUUUUGAACCGCAUGGUUCAAAAGUGAAAGACGGUCUUGCUGUCACUUAUAGAUGGAUCCGCGCUGCAUUAGCUAGUUGGUAAGGUAACGGCCUACCAAGGCAACGAUGCAUAGCCGACCUGAGAGGGGGAUAGGCCACACUGGAACUGAGACACGGACCAGACUCCUACGGGAGGCAGCAGUAGGGAAUCUGCCGCAAUGGGCGAAAGCCUGACAGAGCAACGCCGCGUGAGUUAUGAAGGUCUUCGGAUCGUAAAACUCUGUUAUGAGUGAAGAACAUAUGUGUAAGUAACUGUGCACAGCGUGACGGUAACUAAUCAAAAAGCCACGGCUAACUACGUG